UAAUCAAUAAAGUGGCCGUAUGCAUCUUCCAGAUGCAGAGGCUGGGGGUCAUCCUCCUUUUCUAAAAAAUAAAAUCUUGGGCCAAAACACGUUCAAAAGGCCCAAACUCCUUUAUCUGUAGUAUAAAAAUAAAGGUAAAAUAAACGCGAUCUCUCCCCAACCUCUAUCUUCCUCAUGUAUGCAGCCGCCGCCGGCUUCUAUCAAAGUUGGCUAUAGGGCGCCAGCUGCUACCAGGCCUUAAAGCUUAAUCAAGUGGAUGCUCAAUCAGGAGGUUCUACACGUGUAUGUUCAAGUCGAGCUCUGCACAUAAUCGCAUCCGAAGGAUUCAUCGCCGUUCAAAGGAUGAAGCUCAAGACCAGUAUGAUCAAGAAUUUGUUGCCAUCGAUUAUGUCUCAUGUGCAUGUGCUAGCUGCUUGAAGAAAUUCAUCUAUGUCCUGAACGGCAUAUACUGUACUGACACACCUAUCGAGAAUCAAUCAACCCGCUUGGGAAAUCAGCUUGGCUAUGUGUAAAUAACGUGCAUGUGUGUUGGCGCCAUAUUUUCCCUGUGGAUACUAAGAUGCAUGGCACCACUGUUGAGAUCAACGAUGACAUCGUCUAUGUCUAUCAAUGUGAUUGGCAAUCACCAGAGGUACUCACCCCCAAUAGAUGAACUGUUCCGUCCCUGUAGCUAUGUCUGAAUGAAACGGAUCAUGUAUAGCAUGCAUCACUUUUGUUUCUGUUGGUGUACUAUAUAUCAAAACGGUCGACGACAUGUUUGUGUCUGCGAUGUGCCAUCACAGCACAAUCCAGUACAUAGUUGUUGUAGUGGUAAGACAGAGUCAAGAUAGAGCGACCCUGAUGCAUCGUGCAGUGUGGCACGAUAAGAGUGGUUUGCUGGGUCGACGUGAGUGCCAACGCUGUACCACUAUGAAGGAGUUCGGCAAUGUUUAUGCUCAAAAAAUGUCUCAUUUGGUUAUGAACUAAUCCACGUGGCAAUGGCUAUGACUGAAUCUAAUAACUAUUUUUGAAGCAAUCAGAUAUGACUUUCACGUGUGUGUAGUUCUGGUGAGAUAAUCAAUAAUCAACGUGUGUGUACAAGUAAACAUGAAUUUGUUCAUUUGGGUGCCUGAUUACAAUUUUGUAUGGUCUAGAAACAAAAAACAUGUUAAUCUCAAAGCAUGAUCUAAUAGUACAUAGUGGGGACAGGUUACGAAAAUCCGCACUCUUAAUUAUUCAGA